CCAUACAAGAAUAAGCCUACAUUUCAGCUGAAUGUUUAUCAGAAGCCACUAAGCAAUUUCAGCAGGAUGGAACUUGAAGAAAAGUGAGCUAGAUUCAAGAUGGAGGGGAGCCACUGCUGCAAAAUGAGACUAUUUGGGUGAGUAGG
rnacentral:lncRNA from 1 species